UGAUUUUAAGUUUGGUUGAACUAAUAUAAUAAAAUAACUUCCACCCCCUACUUAUCAACCUCCACCACCUAAGUUAAAACUAACUAUAAUAACAAUGUAAUGAAGUGUGCAGUUGAAUCUAGCUUUAUGGGAGUUUAUUUCUUUGUGCACGCUAGCUAGCCAUUUUGACUCAAACCUCGCUAUCGACGGGGUCAUACUGAAAACUAAUCAUUCAAGCAGUUUGUUUGACUGAAAGGAAAGAGCCCACUCAGAGAUAAAAGACUUACGGGCAAAACUGCCAAAAGCGCACUUAGAACAGGAUUUGUACGUAAGCAGAUUACGUCGUAUGUCUGCUUGGGCUAGUGGUGAUGGUGCAACUCUCUACGCGGGGUGACGGGAUUGUUGAUUUCUAAAAGAGACUAUUCCUCGAAGGCGUCCCAGCGAGCGACCGGGUAGCCAUGAUGAAACGGAUUUUUAAAACCGCGAUAGAUGAUUGUCUUUGACAAGCACUACCAGCGAAAAGCCGCGAGGGAAGAAUAUUUCGAAUAUAUAGCGGUGACACCUG